UACGGAGGGAGCAAGCGUUGUUCGGAUUUACUGGGCGUAAAGGGCGCGUAGGCGGCCAGCACAAGUCAGUUGUGAAAUCUCCGAGCUUAACUCGGAAAGGUCAACUGAUACUGUGCGGCUAGAGUGCGGAAGGGGCAACUGGAAUUCUUGGUGUAGCGGUGAAAUGCGUAGAUAUCAAGAGGAACACCUGCGGCGAAGGCGGGUUGCUGGGCCGACACUGACGCUGAUGCGCGAAAGCUAGGGGAGCGAACGGG
rnacentral:rRNA from 1 species